ensembl:lncRNA
GUUGUCCAAAGUAUAUAUUUACUAUGUUUUUGGAAUUUAAAUAAAAAGUGCAUUUGCUUUUCAUACCAUUUCUGGGUGUUCUUGUUAUGUUUACAAAAUGUAUUUUACACAAAUACUUUUUUCUGGCAACCACAGCUGCCAGUUUCUUACCGUAAAUUUUAUGGGAUUUUCUUUUUAAAUACAUUUUGUAAGUUCUGUUUCAGGCAGUGUUGUGCUGGAUGGAGCUUGACUGCCCUCAUGUGUCCACCCUCGGGAAUGGCAAUUUUCCAUUAGCGGUGUUCUGGGUAAGUAAUAUGACAUGAUAUUACUAUUAAUCUCUCUCUCCUUUUUUAACUCGUUCAUAAUAAUUAUUGUUGUAAUAAUGUAUGCUAUACAUUACCUUUAUGUUUGAAAUUUUUAAUAACAUUAGAAAUACAUUUUAUAUUCUCAUCACUGCUCCUAUGUAACUUAAUGCUAUCUGUAGGUGGCCUCAUCUAUUUCAGUCGAGAAUAUCCAGAAAUAGUGAAGAUUACAAUGUUAAUAUUAUAUUAGAAAAUAAGGUGUGUACUUUAUUGUGAUGUUGAUAAAUAUACUGCUAUGUAUAAGAGAGAAUGUUAAUGUUAUAAGAGACUUACACCGUCUCUUUCUGUCGGUCUCCCCGGUGCACACACAGACAUAUAUAGUGAAAUCGGAGAAGCGAGCCAUAAGAUCUGUUAGGACAUCACAUUCAGAGUUCUAGACCCAUGUUGAUGGUAUGCUUGACGGUUGUUCCCUUUAUGACGCCGCGGAUCUCGAGUUUUUAAAUGUGAUGUCUGAGCACGCCUCUGUAUUCAUUUGACCGGAGUUUAAUUUAAUCAGUAAUCACCUAACUUUUUCAUUUUGUUUAUGUAGCAUGUUUAAGAAUGGACAUUGUCACAAAUUAGCUGUGCAGAUAUCUGGAUGUAUUAUUUCUUAUGUUCUUUAAAAAGAUAGUAGUAAUAAUGAUGAUGAUGAUAAUGGUGCUGUUAAACAGUUCAGAAGCUCCGUGUAUUGUCCUUGAUAUGUGAAAACUAUACAAUUCACUGUAAUAAUGCUGAUUAGCUGUGUCUGUGUAAAAUAGCCAAAAUCUCCCUUCUGUUUCAGGCGGCGUUGUGCUGGAUGGAGCUUGACUGCCGGUCUGUGUCCAAACUCGGGAAUGGCAAUUUCCCAGUAGCGGUAUUCUGUUCCAAGUCUACACUUGUAGUAGUUAGCCAAGAGUAGGGUUCGAUACUGGAUGAUUGAUUGGGGCUCUAAGGUAAGUGCUUAGAAAGUUAAGUGCCAAUCCCACUCUGUGUGGUAGGGUGUAGUCUAUAAGUGCUUUAAUCCUUUCUGAAAAAAGAAAGGUAAGUGCUUCAACACGCAUUUCAUUCAAUCCUCUAAAACACACACUAAAAAUCAAGCCAUCAAAAUCAAAAAAGGUUUCCCUUGAUCCCCUAUUCCAUCCUCCAAUCUUCAAACAUGUAUUCUUUUUAUUGUUGGAUAAUGUUAUUCUGUAGUUCCCUUUAGUACCUGAAUUCCUUAUUUAUACUCUUAACCCAUUCCUCAGCUUUACAUAUAUGGAACUUAAUCUCAUGUUAUGGUUUAAACCGAUGUCCUACCAUAAAUUUCUACCCCUCUCAUUGAGUCCCCCGGGAGUCCAUGUUUUUAAUCUGUGUAUCCAUUUGAACUCACUUCUUUUCCUUUGUU